ensembl:lncRNA
CUUUAGAUUAUAUUGCGCGUCCAGUAUACAGGUCCCUGUUAAUGGACUGUUACUAUAGAAACAGUAGGUGUAAACCUAUGAUUUAUGUUUUAGCUGGAACUACUGUCAGAGCUGCUGUUGCAGAAUUCAGCCGCGCUGUGGUGUAAUCCAUAAAGAAGUUUUCAAAGUUGCUACUCCGGCUCUCACUGUGGCCUACACCUUUCAAGCUUCACAUGACAUCACCCAUAGAAAAGCUAAGCUGUGCCGGAGUGUUGGGUCUGGAGUGAUUGCAGGCAGCUGGUGCUGAGGAAAUGUUGACUGGUGGCUCUACACGCUGUUUUCGUGCAGCUUGAUUCUUACCGAGGCGACGGAAAGUAGAAGGAGACGCGGAUGCCCGCUGGGCGGCGGGCAGGAAACAGACGAAAGGAGUGAAUAACGAUAAGUGUGUCUGGGGUGAAAUUUCCAUUAACCUCCUGUGGACUGAGAAAUGGACAGGGUUCGGUCAAACAGUUUUUAUUUUCUUUAUUUUGCCUUAACUCGGCUUAUCAUGCCCGCCUGCUUUUCGCCAAGAUGUAUGUCACGCCGCACCUCCCUCUUGCCUCUGCUAAUUCGUGCACAAUGGACUGCUUGGCCUAACGUGCCUUUUCCUUCUGAGACCUGGAUGACAUUUGCCUCUGGAACAUUCUUUCAGAGCAACAGGGGAGGUGACACAAUGAGGCGGGGAGGAUAAAAGAAUCGGCGCACGGUCAAGUGACACUUUGAGGACAGUAGUGGCAGGAACCUUACGAUGCUGCGCUGUAGCGAGGCAAUAUGAAGAAAAGAUUCCCAAACAUGGCCGCCCAAAAUAUCGGCUAGGUCGGUCAGGCAGCUCGGCCAAUUAUAGAACUGUGACAAC